rfam:Mycobacterium intermedium strain HMC2_M5 PROKKA_contig000015, whole genome shotgun sequence.
CGGCGUCGUUCGUGAGGGCGGCGCUGACGGGGCAGAAGUCAGCAGAGGCCGUAGUACCGGCGGGAAUCAGAUGUGCCGGGAAGGGC